rnacentral:rRNA from 1 species
GUGUCAGCCGCCGCGGUAAGACGAACCGUGCGAACGUUAUUCGGAAUCACUGGGCUUAAAGCGCGCGUAGGCGGCCCGGCACGUCCGUCGCUGAAAUCCCCCGGCUCAACCGGGGAAGCGGCGCGGAUACGACCGGGCUGGAGCGAGGUAGGGGGAGCCGGAACGUCCGGUGGAGCGGUGAAAUGCGUUGAGAUCGGACGGAACGCCCGUGGCGAAAGCGGGCUCCUGGACCUCCGCUGACGCUGAGGCGCGAAAGCCAGGGGAGCGAACGGGAUUAGAUACCCCUGUAGUCC